rnacentral:rRNA from 1 species
UUGAGAGUUUGAUCCUGGCUCAGGAUGAACGCUGGCGGCGUGCCUAACACAUGCAAGUUGAGCGAUUUACUUCGGUAAAGAGCGGCGGACGGGUGAGUAACGUGUGGGUAACCUACCCUGUACACACGGAUAACAUACCGAAAGGUAUGCUAAUACGGGAUAAUAUAUUUGAGAGGCAUCUCUUAAAUAUCAAAGGUGAGCCAGUACAGGAUGGACCCGCGUCUGAUUAGCUAGUUGGUAAGGUAACGGCUUACCAAGGCGACGAUCAGUAGCCGACCUGAGAGGGUGAUCGGCCACAUUGGAACUGAGACACGGUCCAAACUCCUACGGGAGGCAGCAGUGGGGAAUAUUG